rnacentral:rRNA from 1 species
UACGAGGGGUGCAAGCGUUGCUCGGAAUUAUUGGGCGUAAAGGGUAGGUAGGUGGUCUCAUUUGUCUGGGGUGAAAGCCUUGAGCUUAACUCAAGAAGUGCCCCAGAAACGGUGAGACUCGAGUCCUGGAGAGGGUCGUGGAAUUCCCGGUGUAGCGGUGAAAUGCGUAGAGAUCGGGAGGAACACCAAUUGCGAAGGCAGCUCGCUGGGACGUCACUGACGCUGAGACGCGAAAGCGUGGGGAGCAAACAGG